rnacentral:misc_RNA from 1 species
GAAAUGCGAUAAGUAAUGUGAAUUGCAGAAUUCAGUGAAUCAUCGAAUCUUUGAACGCACAUUACGCCCGCCAGUAUUCUGGCGGGCAUGCCUGUUCGAGCGUCAUUACAACCCUCAGGCCCCCGGGCCUGGCGUUGGGGAUCGGCGGAAGCCCCCUGCGGGCACAACGCCGUCCCCCAAAUACAGUGGCGGUCCCGCCGCAGCUUCCAUUGCGUAGUAGCUAACACCUCGCAACUGGAGAGCGGCGCGGCCACGCCGUAAAACACCCAACUUCUGAAUGUUGACCUCGAAUCAGGUAGGAAUACCCGCUGAACUUAAGC